UCGCCAAUGCCUUUGCUUCAGGCAGACAAAGGUUGCCAUGGCGAGCCAGCUCUAAGGUGGGAGGGACCUUUUGGGAGAGUCGAUGCUCAGGGCUGCUGAUGCCCUGAGCCGAAAGGUCCUUUCAUCUUCUAGGUUUUACAAAUGUCACCUCACACAGGGGUCUCAUAUGGCCAAAGCUGGCAUGAAUUCACCAAGGAUAGUCAUGAACUCCUGAUCCUCAUGCUUCUUCCUCUCAACUGUUGGUAUUAUAGCAUAAAUUCCAAUCAUUCACUCUGAAGAUCCUGGUGGAAAGGAAAAUUCACCACGGCUGUCAUUUGCAUCUGUUGUGUGCCCUCAUGUAAUCUCUACAGUUGUUCCUGAUGAAUAAGGAGAAUGAAUUAAAUGUAUGCAUAGACAUAGCAGAAGCCUUAGGUCACAGGAUAUAAGCUGAGAACAGUCCCUGGAUACAUCAACUUCCCUACCCGACCACGUACACAGCCACGGUUCUUUAAGACCUAUUGCUGAAACAAGGGCCCAGUUGCUGAGGAAUUCAGGGUCAAUUCUUGGCUAAGUCCCAGAUUUAAACUCUCUCAAUCUCAUAUGGGCCUCAAAUGCCUGAACUCAG